AUUGAACGCUGGCGGCAGGCCUAACACAUUCAAGUCGAGCGGAGCGGUGGUCGGGUAAGUAAUGCCUAGGAAUCUGCCUGGUAGUGGGUGAUAACGUCCGGAAACGGGAGCUAAUACCGCAUACUAUCAGAUGAGCCUAGGUCGGAUUAGCUAGUUGGUGGGGUAAGGGCCUACAAAGGCGACGAUCCGUAACUGGUCUGAGAGGAUGAACAGUCACACUGGAACGGCGACACGGUCCAAACUCCUACGGGAGGCAGAAGUGGGGAAGAAUGGACAAUGGGCGAAAGCCUGAUCCAGCCAUGCCGCGUGUGGGAAGAAGGUCUUCGGAUUGUAAAGCACGUUAAGUUGGGAGGCGUUACCAACAGAAUAAGCACCGGCUAACUUCGUGGCAGCAGCCGCGGUAAUAC
rnacentral:rRNA from 1 species